UAUAGUAACCCGAAUACCCUGAAGAUACCAGAUCCAACCUGAUCUUGCAACUAAGCAGGGUUGUCCUUAUCAAGACUUGGGUGGGAAGAUGUCAAGGACUACCAAAGGGAGUAUGCAGUUGGAAGAA
rnacentral:rRNA from 11 species